CCCUUAGAUGUUCGGGGCUGCACACGCGCUACACUGGAGGAAACAGCGUGUAUUGUCCUGGUCCGAAAGGACUGGGUAAACCUGUGAAACUUCUCCGUGCUUGGGAUAGCGGAUUGAAAUUGUUUCGCUUCAACGAGGAAUUCCUAGUAAGCGUAAGUCAUAAGCUUGCGCUGAUUACGUCCCUGCCCUUUGUACACACCGCCCGUCGCUACUACUGAUUGGAUGUUUAAGCGAGGUUCUCGAACUGCUAGCGACUUAGCUUCGGUGAGGUCGCAGUGUGGGAAGUGAACCUAGCUUUGGUGUCUAGAGGAAGUAAAAGUCGUAACA
rnacentral:rRNA from 1 species